UACGUAGGGUGCAAGCGUUGUCCGGAAUUAUUGGGCGUAAAGAGCUCGUAGGCGGUCUGUCGCGUCGGCUGUGAAAACCCGGAGCUCAACUCCGGGCCUGCAGUCGAUACGGGCAAACUGGAGUACUGCAGGGGAGACUGGAAUUCCUGGUGUAGAGGUGAAAUUCGUAGAUAUUAGGAAGAACACCAGUGGCGAAGGCGGCUCACUGGCCCGGUACUGACGCUGAGGCGCGAAAGCGUGGGGAGCAAACAGG
rnacentral:rRNA from 1 species